GGCCUGGUGGUCUAGUGGUAUGAUUGUCGCUUCGGGUAACCCUCUGCUUAGCAGAGCUUCAAAUGUGACAGGCCCCGGGUUCAAAUCCCGGCCAGGCCC